GUGGGGAAUAUUGGACAAUGGGCGAAAGCCUGAUCCAGCGACGCCGCGUGAAGGAAGAAGGUCUUCGGAUUGUAAACUUUAGUGAGCAGGGACGAUAAUGACGGUACCUGCAGAGCAAGCCACGGCUAACUACGUGCCAGCAGCCGCGGUAAUACGUAGGUGGCAAGCGUUAUCCGGAAUUACUGGGUGUAAAGGGUGAGUAGGCGGGAAGGCAAGUCAGAUGUGAAAUGCAGGAGCUCAACUCCUGAACUGCAUUUGAAACUGUUUUUCUUGAGAGUCGGAGGGGUAAUCGGAAUUCCCAGUGUAGCGGUGAAAUGCGCAGAGAUUGGGAGGAACACCAGUGGCGAAGGCGGAUUACUGGACGACAACUGACGCUGAUACACGAAAGCGUGGGGAGCAAACAGG
rnacentral:rRNA from 1 species